rnacentral:rRNA from 1 species
UACAUGUGGGGCAAGCGUUGUUCGGAAUUACUGGGCAUAAAGGGUGCGUAGGUGGGUUGGUAAGUCAGUGGUGAAAUACUUUCGCUUAACGAAGGAACUGCCAUUGAUACUACCAGUCUUGAAUACAGUGGAGGUAGGCGGAAUGCAUCAUGUAGCGGUGAAAUGCUUAGAUAUGACGCAGAACACCAAUUGCGAAGGCAGUUUGCUACACUGUUAUUGACACUGAGGCACGAAAGCGUGGGGAUCAAACAGG